rnacentral:rRNA from 1 species
UACAGGGGGGGCAAGCGUUGUUCGGAAUUACUGGGCGUAAAGGGUCUGUAGGUGGCUUGCUAAGUCAGACGUGAAAUCCCUCAGCUUAACUGGGGAACUGCGUCUGAUACUGGCGAGCUUGAGUGCAGGAGAGGAACGCGGAAUUCCAGGUGUAGCGGUGAAAUGCGUAGAUAUCUGGAGGAACACCGGUGGCGAAGGCGGCGUUCUGGACUGCAACUGACACUGAGAGACGAAAGCCAGGGGAGCAAACAGG